rnacentral:rRNA from 1 species
GAUGAACGCUGGCGGCGUGCUUAACACAUGCAAGUCGAACGGAGUGCCUUUGAAAGAGGAUUCGUCCAAUUGAUAAGGUUACUUAGUGGCGGACGGGUGAGUAACGCGUGAGGAACCUGCCUUGGAGUGGGGAAUAACACAGUGAAAAUUGUGCUAAUACCGCAUAAUGCAGUUGGGCCGCAUGGCUCUGACUGCCAAAGAUUUAUCGCUCUAAGAUGGCCUCGCGUCUGAUUAGCUAGUUGGUGGGGUAACGGCUCACCAAGGCGACGAUCAGUAGCCGGACUGAGAGGUUGGCCGGCCACAUUGGGACUGAGACACGGCCCAG